rnacentral:lncRNA from 1 species
AUGUAUGUGUUUAUUCUAGAACACAAGAUUGUUCCUCCUUCUCCUGUAGACCAUUCAGAAUCAAGAUUGCUCAGUGCUUUGCCCAGAAAAAUAGACCCAAUGAGUGUGAAGGUGAGUGUGAAGGAAGGGAGAUGGUGGAGGAGGCUGUUGAGGAUUCUGGAAGAAGGCAGCUCGACGAGAAAGACCAAAUGGGACUCUAAGAGUAGGCGGCACAUACCCAGUCUGGGAAGCUGCCAGAGAGACUCGCAGUUGGAGAAUACAUAAGUCUGUGGUUCCCAUGCAUUCUCCCCGCACACCAACCCCCUUAGAGGAACACUGAAAGUGUGUCCAUAGCCCAAGGCUUUGUGGUCCUCAGGGAAGCUUCACAUGGAAAUGAGCAUGGAGGUAUGUAAUGCUUCUCUGUAUUUUACUGGGGCAGGGUGAGUGGGAUGAAGGAUACAUUUUUUAUAAGUUCUUUGACAAAAUUAGGAAAUCAUACAUUUCUACUGUUGAAUGCCUUUAAUAACAACCACAGUGAUAAUAAUGGCACAACAUAUCUGUUCCACUGCAUUGCAGUGGAUCUAAUUUGUUUGGUGACUGGUUAUAAGGAAAAUCAAGGUCACAGUUAGGGCUUUAUUAAUAUCCCAUUUGACCCAUUGUGUUUCAUAUCCC